AUGAGUCAGGACAAUGGCAUAGGUGAGGUAGUUGGGCGACGGGUUACCCUGCACGAAGCGCAGCGCGUCGUCGGCGCAGCCGGUCCUGAGCAGGACGUCGAGGACGACAUUGCGCGCGAAGGCGUUGUGGUGGAAGCCCCAGCGGGGCAUUUCGUCGAACAGGUGGAGCACGAGCGGGUACAGGCCCCCGCGCCAGUAGAGCCUGAGCAGGAGCAGGAAGGUGUGGGGCCUGAUGGGGCAGCCCAGGCUCUGGAGCUCGCGGAGGAGCGCGGGGGCGGUGCCGAGGCGGGACGCGAGGCGCGUGGCGGCGGGGAGGACGCGGUCGAAGGACGAGGGCGGGUGGAAGUAGGCGGGGCGGCGAGCGCACCAGAGGAAGAAGGAGAGCGCGAGGGCGUCGGAGGGGCAGCGGGAGACGGCGGCCUCGACGAUCUGCGGCGAGAGGGCGGGCGGCUGGGGCUGGGGCUUGGCGGCGAAGAAGGCGGCGGCGAGCCUGGCAGGGAGCGGCGGUGUCCGCCUCCGUGCGGCGUGGAGCAUAGAAGCAGCGAGUGGGCGGGGAUGGCGAGGCUGGCAUUGCAGGCGCGAACACGGGCGGGGAGGAGCUCAGUGAUAUAUGCCUAA
rnacentral:rRNA from 1 species